CCGGGAAGGAAGCAGCACAGUUGUCUGUCAGCUACCACUUUGCUAAUGCCUGCAGAAUAAAACUGAAGUCACAAUUAGAGAGGGGGUGAGAAAAGAAAAGAAAGAAAGAAUGUGCUCUUUGGCAUAUCCUUUCACUUGGUCUCUCUGAAAAUGCAGAAGGCAUAGUAGCAGCUGCAGCAGCCUUUGGAAAGAACUGGCUAGAACUCUUUCCAUUAGAGAAGAGGACCCUGAACAUUUCAUCUCCAACCUGGGCAUGAAGUACUUGGACUUGGUUUGCACCAGCCAAACACACCUCUGCCUCUGAUUUAUCUAAGGACAUUCUCUACACUUAUACUUGGAUCAAGGGGGUUUCUCAACAGACAGAAGUUCAAAAACCAUUUGUAAAGAAAUUCACAUGAAGUUAUAAAGCCUCCUGAGCAGAAAAAAAUGGAAGCCUCUUCUCUGAGUUGAAGCAAAUUUUCAGGAAAUUGAAAGUUACAUUUGAUGUAGCUACUAAAAUGAGAAAACGUUGCGGAGAGACUGGUGCAGAAUCACUGCAAUCCAUCCCAGUUGAGUCAGUAGAGGCACUGAGGUAAGAUGAUCUGUCUUGGUGCCUGACAUGCCAGAGAGAAGACUAAUGGAGGUAAGUAGCUUCUAUAUUUAUGCUCUCUAGAUACCAUUGAAGGAACAGCUCCAUGGGCACAGUGCCAGGCUACUCUGUAGAUCAGCUUCAAAGGGCCAAUUCAGUUGAAUCAUCUUAUAUCAAAUUAAAACAAAAUCCAUUUUACACAAUCUAAGUGAAAAUUUAACUGGAAAUUCAUAAAAUACAGGUGAUCAUGAGGGAACCCAAUCCCUUGCCUCCUAUAAUAACCUUCUGGGAUUCAACCAAAAACUAUAGAUGAAAAUUGAAGAAAUUCAAGAUGAAAGAGUAUCAAAAAAUGAAUGUUAAUAACAUUUGCCUAUUUUUUCUCCCUCAAUACAGUCAUUAGAAUUUAUGUGUGAAUGAAGCCCAUAAAAAUAGUGAUUCUGAAGUAACAGUUUGCAAUAUUUCAAUUUCAGAUAGCUACAGCAAUUUGAAUCUUAAUUUACAGUAAUUAUGUUCUCUUCUUGCUGCUUCAGAACUUUAGAUCACGUUCAUCCCUCUUCUAUUUCAAGUGCCUAAUUUUGUAAUUUGAGUAUUUUACAGCUUUUAAGAGUUUGAGGAAUGCAUGCAU